UUGGGUGUGGCGAAAUAGUAGAAGGUAAUAAUGACUAAAAUUUGGGCAGCAAACAAAAACUAAAUUUCAAAACUAGCUCUCUUUUUUUUUCACAAUUUUUUUUUUCACAACUUGAUAUCCAAUCUUUUAAGUUUGAAUGGAAACUAGUUUUUUUUUUGAAUUUUUUUUCGAGUUUUUUUUUCGAGAAACUACUAUACCGUAAUGCCGACAACGUCGAUUCUUACUCCAAAUUCGCUAGCUCUGAUACCAAUUUGAUACGAACUCGUCUCGUGAUGUUUUGAGUCGUAUGUGUUGCCCAAUCGUGAAUUGAG
rnacentral:lncRNA from 1 species